rnacentral:lncRNA from 1 species
UUAAUACAAAGGUAUAAUGUGGUUUUAAAUUUUAAAACAAAUUUAAAGAUUAUAGGCUUCAUAUAUAGAGCAUUUACCGAAAACUCACUAUUUUCGUAGGGGUUAACACAUAGAUUUUGAAAAAAAAUUAAAAAAAUUGAAAAUACUUUUUUAAUACAUAUUUGAAUCAUGUAAUUAAAUAUGAUGAAGUUCAAAGAGGUUUGGAACCUUUGUUGUCUC